CGUCGCGGCCCUCGGUGUCCUCGGGGGCCGCGGGGCGGGCUGUGCGCUCUGCGCCCUGCGCGGCUCGGUGCGGAGGAGGGGCCCCGGGCGGCGCUCGGCGCUGCGGGGCCCGAGGGCGGCGGCGGAGGUGCCGCCCGGAGCGCUGGAGCCGCCGGGCGUCGGCGGAGCCUCGCGCGGUGGAGCUUGAGUGACUCUAGUCAGGCAUACCUUGGUUAUGAUUGGUGAAAAGUUUUCUCGCUUUCGUUUAAAGACAGGUCGUUGGCUCAGGGUAGUAAACGUGCAGCUUAUCGGUCUCGGUGCACACAAGAGCAUCGGGUCCCCAUCUGGUCGCAGAGCCUAUCCAUGGUGUCUCCACUCCGCUUUACGCUCCGUCCCGUUCCUCCGAGUCAGCACACCGAGUUCCCCUAGUGCGAUAGCAUGUAAGGUUGGAGGCCUUGGAAGUCCUGAUCCAUCCAUUCCGAGCAGGAGAUUGUGUUGUGACGCGAACAUGCAGAGAUUCGAAGCUGCAACCUGAGUGGGAAGGACUGUUCCAAGUGCUCCUGACUACUGAGAUGGCAGGAAGAACAGCUGAGAAAGGGUGGACUCAUACCUGGGUAAAAGCAUCAGUUAACUUGAUACCUGAGAGACUGCAUUAACAAAGACUUUUAAGGUUCAAACUGUUAAAACUAUCCAUUGUAAACGUUUAACUUCUCCUCAGAAGAAUUCUUACUGAAUUAAUGAGUAAAAGGGAUUGAAUUACACAGAAUUGGAGUGUUUACAGGGAACACCCCCUGGAAGUGGGAGAAGGGGGGCAGGGGUAUUUAAUCCCUACGAGAAGAAUCCUUAUUAGUUUGUGAUUUUUAUUGUUUUGCUUAAUUAGUAUUUCUUAAUUAUUAUAGGGGUGUGUAUAUAUAUAGAGAGAGAAAUAUUGUAUUUUAAGUUGAUCUUAGUAAUACCUAUUCUGAAUGGAUUACUGGUAGGAUAGAGGGAAAAAUCAGCAUUUCCAAUGAAUCCAGAACAUCUCUCGAGUUCUAUCUUGAAAUAAUUGUUGGAUUUGCACCCAGAUGCCUAGAAAGACUGAAAAGGCCUUGUCCCUGAUUGCUGUUUCCAGCAGCAACUGUGUCUGGAUACUCUAGAUUUCUAAAAAUGACAGAUCAUACUCAGUCCUGGGAAAGAAUAAAUUUUGAAGUU
rnacentral:lncRNA from 1 species